rnacentral:rRNA from 1 species
UUCCUCUUGAUCUAAAGAGGUAGGGCCUGCUCACUGAGUAUUUAAAGAGCCGCAGUAUCCUGACUGUGCUAAGGUAGCAUAAUCAUUAGUCUUUUAAUUGGAGACUGGUAUGAAUGGUUUAACGAGAAAUCAACUUUUUUUACUAUAAAGAUCGAAUUUAACAUCUUAGUGAAAAGGCUAAGAUAAAUCAAAAAGACGAGAAGACCCUAUAGAGUUUUAUUGGUAUUCUCAACUCAUUUUUGAUUUGACUUAUUCAAAAAUGAGUUGAGAUCUAGUUUUGUUGGGGCGACAUUAAGAUAAAAAAAACUCUUUAUUAAAAAAAUUUUAAUAAAAAUACGCUUGAUCCUUUAAAAAAGAUUAAAAGAAAAAAUUACCUUAGGGAUAACAGCGUAAUCUUUUUUGAGAGUUCUAAUCGACAAAAAGGUUUGCGACCUCGAUGUUGGACUAAAAUUUAGGCAGGGUGCAGCAGUUCUGCUUUUAGGUCUGUUCGACCUAUAAUAUUUUACAUGAUCUAGU